rnacentral:rRNA from 1 species
AUUGAACGCUGGCGGCAGGCCUAACACAUGCAAGUCGAACGAGUGGCGGACGGGUGAGUAAUGUCUGGGAAACUGCCUGAUGGAGGGGGAUAACUACUGGAAACGGUAGCUCAUACCGCAUACCAUCGGAUGUGCCCAGAUGGGAUUCGCUAGUAGGUGGGGUAAAGGCUCACCUAGGCGACGAUCCCUAGCUGGUCCGAGGGGAUGACCAGCCACGCUGGAACUGGGCCACGGUCCAGACUCCUGCGGGAGGCAGCAGUGGGGAAUAUUGCACACUGGGCGCAAGACGGAUGCAGCCAUGCCGCGUGUAUGAAGAAGGCCGUCUGGUUGUAAAGUACUUUCAGCGGGGCGGCGUUACCCGCAGGAGAAGCACCGGCUAACGCCGUGCCAGCAGCCGCGGUAAUUC